rnacentral:rRNA from 1 species
CCUACGGGUGGCAGCAGUGAGGAAUAUUGGUCAAUGGUCGGGAGACUGAACCAGCCAAGCCGCGUGCGGGAUGACGGUACUGUGUAUUGUAAACUUCUUUUGUCCGGGAAUAAAGUCGGGGACGCGUACCCGUUUGAGUGUACCUGAAGAAUAAGCAUCGGCUAACUCCGUGCCAGCAGCCGCGGUAAUACGGAGGAUUCGAGCGUUAUCCGGAUUUAUUGGGUUUAAAGGGGGCGUAGGCGGUUUGGUAAGUUAGCGGUGAAAUGCCGGGGCUCAACCCGGGCACCGCGGUGGAAACUGGCAGGCGCGAGUGAGAGGGAGGUAGGCGGAAUGCGCGGUGUAGCGGGGAAAUGCUUAGAUAUCACGAAGAACUCCGAUUGCGAAGGCAGCAUGCC